CACUCACCUGUUUUUUUUUUUUUCUUUGUCCCUUUACCUCCAUUAGGGUGCUUGGGCAGCCUGGAGCCUGUUCUAGCAGCCAGGAGGGAAAACUUGGGCUACAGCCUGGUCAGGCUGCAGGUCGGUCACUCCACGGACUGGACUGUUGAGUAGGAAGGGGAAAAAAACUCUUGACUGGAUUACUUUGGUUUCAACAUACCUGUUGACGGCCAGCAAGAAAGUAUUAGGAACUGGAAGACGUCAGUCCCCAACAAGUUUGAACCAAGGCAGUUUCAACGGAAGAAGAAGGAUGGAUCUGGGGAUCAUUGACGCAGUAAGUUUGGGAGCUGAACUCUUGCAAGGCACUGUGGAAGUUGGGGGUGCCAUAAGAAAAAUGACACCAGUUCGCCAAUGCAAGAUUGACAUCACAAACAACUCAAAAUGCUACCUUCUUCACAAUCCUGGGACAUACACUCUUGGGGGAAAAUAUGCGGAUCCUUUAUCUCCUAGAAUUCAACCUUCCUCUUCUGGAGCUGCGCUUGUUUUGAAGACUCCCUACACAGGACGUGGAUUUUCUGGUGUCUUCACCUACGACCUUCGUGACAGUUCCACUAGAGAAACCGCCGGGCGCAUGGCUGUGUUGUUCAAGGUGCCUUAUAACACAAAUUUGCGGCAAAAUGAGUACGCAGUAGGAAUUUUUGAUGUUGGCAGAGAGUGUGAUGAAAAUCUUUAUGAACACCUGGCCAAGAAUACAGACUUGACAAUCGUCAGAGGCCAAGCUAAAGGCCCCUCACUGACUUUUGCAAGCGAAAAAGUCACAAUUAGGGCCACAAUGUCAGAAAAGUCUACUGCGGUUAUAAAGGUUGACUUGGAUGAUGACUAAAAAGGUUUUUCUUU